rnacentral:sRNA from 1 species
GUCAAUUACCCCCGACUAAAGUCGGGGGCUUGCAGAAACGUGCAAGCGUAACUAGCAAGCCCUGAUUGACUAGCCUAAGUUCUUCGAGAGCUACGUUGUUUUCGUUAUCACACCCUGGAGUGUUUAUCCUAGCUCCUUGCUCUGU